rnacentral:misc_RNA from 1 species
AUUCUAUUCCCUUUUCCUUUCCUAUCCUCUCUUAUAUAGUUAUACCCCAUCCACAUAAAGUGUAAAUGUAUUAAACAAUUUCAUUUGUUAUAAAUGUAGCUCAUAAUUUCAAUUAACAAGCAUUACAUAACAAAUCCAAUGUAAUUUCUCUUUAUCCUCUCUCUUCUAACCUCAUUAACAUUUAUAAAGAAGGGACAAAAAAAUUUGCAACUAUAACGACCUUUAUUACUACAAUAACAAGUAAAGAUUGCUAGAAGAAAUAUUGUAACUCGAACAAAGUAGUAAGAGUUCAAAGGAGUAAAGCA